ACAAUUACACAAAAUAAUAAAUUACUAUUUUUAACCUUUUACACAAUAAACCACUACCAACUGAAAAGACUUAUCAAUUAUUUGACUUUUCCUUUUGUAUCAGGAUAAUAUUAAUACUUUUAUUUAACUAAACACCCGAAUUUAUUAGAACUAAUUAUACCAUUAAUAAACUGUAACAUAACUAAUACAAGUACAAUUAGAAACUAAACAUCAAACGAAAUUAAAGAUAUCUGGUUAUUUUCUUACAACAUAUAAAGAAUAAACAUACUACUAAAUUUUUCAAAACAAAAACUAUAUUAAAACUAACAGUAUUUUCCUAGUAUUAUAACCACCCAUCUUUACCCUACUAAUGCCAAACUAAAAUACAUAACUAAUAAUAAACAACAAUUUAUAAAUAAGUAAUUAAACAAUUUAUCUCCUAUUAAAAAACUAAGCCUACAAAAUAGACUGUUUAACAAAAACAUAACUUUUAGAUAUAACUAAAAGGCGCCUCCUGCUCCAUGACACUAAAUAGCCGCAGACUUCCUGUGCUAAGGUAGCAUAAUCACUUGUCUUUUAAUUUAAGAAUAGAAUGAACGGAAAAACUAUUUUCUACUGUUUCCAUAAAACUUAAUAAAAUUACUAUAAAAGUAAAAACUCUUUUAUUACAAGAAAGACGACAAGACCCUAAUAAACUUUACUAAAGUUAAGCUGGGGCGGCCCUUAAAAAAAAUCUUAAUUACUACCUAUUUUUAAUAACAAUGUUACUAUAGGGAUAACAGCAUAAUUUUAUUAAAAAGCUCAUAUAAAAAAUCAAGAUUAUGACCUCGAUGUUGAAUUAAAUAUCUGCAAUAAGCAAAAAAAUUGUAAGAAAGUCUGUUCGACUUUUAAAAAAUUUACAUGAAUUUGAGUUCAGACCGGUGUAAGCCAGGUCGGUUUCUAUCUUCUCUUCUAGCAAACCCUAGUACGAAAGGACCAUGUUUCAAGAUAAUAACU
rnacentral:rRNA from 1 species